UCUCUUCUUGUUUGUCAGUUGAAUGUUUGAAACCUUUACUAAACACUACAAAAAAAGUAAAAUAUUACGACGGUUUAUUUCCGGCGGUCUAUAAAAACUGCCACAAAUAUCACGUAUAUACGGCUGUUUUCUAUCCGUCGUAUUACAUGUUUGUAAACGGGCGGUUUUGAUGAAUAUUACAGGCGGCUUAAACUGCCAUUUUCUUUUGAGUUUUAAUACUUUAUAUUUGAAACCCUAUUCUCUGCGUCCUGCCUUUUUCCUUUCUCGCGCAAAUUAGGAGUCAACCAAAUCUCGCGCAAAUCGUCAGUGCCAUUUCACGAAAUUGUCGGUGCUAUGAAGCUCGCAGGUUCAGUCAUGUCUCUCAAUUUCCUCUUUUAUUUGCUUAUCAGCUAUGCUUUAGCAUAGAGGACUCCUACAAAUAACUCAACAGUAGACCAUCAAACAGCUGAUUUAGAACACAUGUUAAAGAGAUCAAGACCUUUGGGUGUAUCAGAUGAAGUAUGAUAUGGGAGAGGAUUGCUAACAGAUGUUUCAAGAUUUGGGAUCUCGGGUAAUGUUCAGUGGCUUUAUAGGUAUAUGUGGAACCUGUUGAUUGCAUUGACAAUCGUUUAUCAUGUAUGGAUGAAUGUUUUUGUAGUCUCAGCUUAAUAGACUUAUUGCUGAAGGUGCUCGUCGUGCAAGAGAAAUAAUAUGUGCCACCUCUUUCAGGCUUAUGGAAAAUACCAACUAGUUUUAUUCUUGAGGAUGAUGCUCAAUUUGAGAAGGUUAUGGCUUUCAGGUGGCUAGCUAAGAAGAUCACCAUAUGGAUCUUAUCAACGUAGAUUAUGCGAGUUCUCAUAGAAUAUUAAUUCUAGAAUAUGAUAUGGUUAUUUCUCUUCGGAUGGAUGUAAUAUAUUGCUCCUUAACAUUUAAAGAAUUUUGUUAUGUAAUUUUGAAAUGCUUAUAUUUUUCAUA